rnacentral:misc_RNA from 1 species
GAUGAAGAACGCAGCGAAAUGCGAUACGUAAUGUGAAUUGCAAAUUCAGUGAAUCAUCGAGUCUUUGAACGCACAUUGCGCCCCCUGGUAUUCCGGGGGGCAUGCCUGUCCGAGCGUCAUUGCUGCCCUCAAGCACGGCUUGUGAGUUGGGCCCCGUCCUCCGAUCCCGGGGGACGGGCCCGAAAGGCAGCGGCGGCACCGCGUCCGGUCCUCGAGCGUAUGGGGCUUUGUCACCCGCUCUGUAGGCCCGGCCGGCGCUUGCCGAUCAACCCAAAUUUUUUAUCCAGGUUGACCUCGGAUCAGGUAGGGAUACCCGCUGAACUUAAGCAUAUCAAUAAGCGGAGGA